rnacentral:lncRNA from 1 species
UGGCUCUCCUACAUCCACCUUGCAGGCUGCAGAUCUUGGGACUUCUCAGCCUUUAUAACCAUGUGAGCUGAUUGUUUAUAAUAAAUCACAUAUAAUUGAGUGUGUGUUUACAUGUAUGUGUGUAUCUCUUUUGGUUCUGUUUCUCUGGAAAAAUCUAAUACAGCUGACAAAGGAAUUUACUCUUUAUUCCAACCAGACCUAGGCCCCUGACCUCUAUUUUUUCUUACAGGAGUUACUUAUAAAUUAUUUCACUGUCCCUUUGAGGUGUAAGUCUUCUACCACUCAAAAUUGUCUCCUUGAAUAACUCCUUGGGCCAUUGCUUGAAAAUGCAAAUAUCCAGGGGCACUCAGUCAGUUAAGCAUCUGACGCUGUUUUCAACUCAGGUCAUAAUCUCACAGUUUCAUGGGUUCAAGCCCUGCUUCAGGCUCUGUGCUGGCAGGGCACAGCCUGCUUGGAAUUGUCUCUCUCUCUCCCUCUCUCUGCCCCUACCCCACUCAUGCUAUCUCUGUCUCUCUCAAAAUAAAUAAAUAAAUAAAAUGCAAACAUCCAGGGAGAUGGCUGUCCUAUUUCCCAGUUCCCUUGGGACAGUAAGCCUAACUUUGGUGGGCACCUUCUCUAAUUUGCAAAACUAUCUCCUGUUCUAAAGAUAUAAAAAGUUCGUUUCUCCCCCAGGUAACUGCCAAUUAACAAACUACGAUGGCCUAGUCACAUUGGCCAAACCCCUUUAAUCCAAUUCAGUACUUUUCCUAAAUUUAGUGCAUUCUUGCAUUCUAAAAACCUCCUAUAUUACAUUUUGGUGGAGUUGAACCCAGAUUAUACUGAAAUAUCUCUCUCCUACUGCAGUAGUCUGAAUAAAAUCUGUCUUGCAACUUUUAUUAUUUUUAAAUUAUUUUUUAAUGUUUAUUUUUGAGACAGAGAGAGAGCAUGAGUAGGAGAAGGUCAGAUAGAGAGGGAUACACAGAAUCCAAAGCAAGCUCCAGGCUCUGAGCUGUCAGCACAGAGCCCAAACACAGAGCUGAACCAACAAGGCACUAGGUUGCAACCUGACCCGAAGUCAUAUGCUUACUGGACUGACCUACCCAGGUGCCCCUUUCUUCCAACUUCUAAAGUUUUUCUUUUUUUAAAUGUUUAUUUAUUUAUUUUGAGAGAGAUAGAAAGUGCAUGCACACACAAACAAGUGGGAGAGGCUCAGAGACAGAGCAAGGGAGAGAGGAAAUCCCAAGUAGAUUCUGAUGCUAGGCUGUCAGCACAAAGACUGGUGCCAGGAUUGAUCUCAUAAUCUGUGAGAUCAUGACCUGAGUCAAAAUCAAGAGUUAGAUUCUUAACUGAUUGAGCCACCCAGGUACCCCUGUCUUGCAACUUUUAACCAGUGUCUGCUGAAUUUCUCUUUGACACUAACUUGGUCACUCUCUAGAACAGACACUGACCUUGGAAAUGUGGUUAGAAUCAGAAAAAGUAAUACAACCUGAUUUAAACAUUUUUUCCUGCCUGUUGAACAAUAGACCUCACACUUUCAUUUUUCAAUGGGCUCCACAAAUUAUGUAGGUGACAUUGAUUGUAGUAGUAAUAGUAACAGUAGUCAUGGCAGCAGCAAAAGCGGACAUGUAUUAAGUGAUUCCUUUGUACCAGACUUUGGCUUAACUGUUCUUUGUGUAUCAAGUUAUUUAAUCUCAUAACAGUGGUAAAAUAUACUAUGCUAAUACAAAUCCCUUUCGAUAGUUAAAAAACUGAAGCAACAGAGAAAUUCAUUGCUUUUUUUUGGUAAAAGACAGCACCCAGUGCUCAUCCCAACAAGUGCCCUCCUCAAUGCCCAUACCCACUUUCCCCUCCCUCCCACCCCCCAUCAACCCUCAGUUUAUUCUCAGUUUUUAAGAGUCUCUUAUGGUUUGCCUCCCUCCCUCUCUAACUUUUUUUUGUCUCCUUCCCCUCCCCCAUGGUCUUCUGUUAAGUUACUCAGGAACCACAUAAGAGUGAAAACAUAUGGUAUCUGUCUUUCUCUGCCUGACUUAUUUCGCUUAACAUAACACUCUCCAGUUCCAUCCACGUUGCUACAAAAGGCCAUAUUUCAUUCUUUCUCAUUGCCAAGUAGUAUUCCAUUGUGUAUAUAAACCACAAUUUCUUUAUCCAUUCCUCAGUUGAUGGACAUUUAGGCUCUUUCCAUAAUUUUGCUAUUGUUGACAGUGUUGCUAUAAACACUGGGGUACAAGUGCCCCUAUGCAUCAGCAGUCCUGUAUCCCUUGGGUAAAUUCCUAGCAGUGCUAUUGCUGGGUCAUAGGGUGGAUAUAUUUUUAAUUUUUUGAGGAACCUCCACACUGUUUUCCAGAGCGGCUGCACCAGUUUGCAUUCUCACCAACAGUGCAAGAGGGUUCCCGUUUCUCCACAUCCUCUCAGCAUCUAUAUUCUCCUGGUUUGCUCAUUUUAGCCACUCUGACUGGCAUGAGUUGAUAUCUCAGUGUGGUUUUGAUUUGUAUUUUCCUGAUGAGGAAUGACAUUGAGCAUCUAUUCAUGUGCCUGUUGGCCAUCUGGAUGUCUUCUUUAGAGAAAGGUCCAUUCAUGUUUUCUGCCCAUUUCUUCACUGGAUUAUUUGUUUUUCAGGUGUGGAGUUUGGUGAGUUCUUUAUAGAUUUUGGAUACUAGACCUUUGUCUGAUAUGUCAUUUGUAAAUAUCUUCUCUCAUUCCAUCAGCUGCCUUUUAGUUUUGUUGGUUGUUUCCUUUGCAGUGCAGAAGAUUUCAUCUUCAUGAGGUUACAAUAAUUCAUUUUUGUUUUUAAUUCCCUUGCCUUUGGAGAUGUGUCAAGUAAGAAGUUGCUGCGGCUGAGGUCAGAAAGGUUUUUCCCUGCUUUCUCCUCUAGGGUUUUGAUGGUUUCCUAUAUCACAUUCAGGUCUUUUAUCCAUUUUGAGUUUAUUUUUGUGAAUGGUGUAAGAAAGUGGUCUAGUUUCAUCCUUCUGCAUGUUGGUGUCCAGUUCUCCCAGCACCAUUUGUUAAAGAGGCUGUCUUUUUUCCAUUGGAUGCUCUUUCCUGCUUUGUCAAAGAUUAGUUGGCCAUACUUUUGCAGGACCAAUUCUGGAGUCUCUAUUCUAUUCAAUUGGUCUAUGUGUCUGUUUUUGUGCCAAUGUCAUAAAGUUUUGAUGAUUACAGCCUUAUAAUAGAGGCUAAAGUCUGGGAUUGUGAUGCCUCUCACUUUGGUCUUCUCCUUCAAUAUUACUUUGGCUCCUUGGGGGUCUUUUGUGGUUCCAUACAAAUUUAGGAUUGCUUGUGCUAGCUUUGAGAAGAAUGCUGGUGUAAUUUUGAUUGGGAUUGCACUGAAUGUGUAGAUUGCUUUGGGUAGUAUUGACAUUUUAACAAUAUUUAUUCUUCCAAUCCAUGAGCAUGGAAUGUUUUUCCAUUUCUUUGUAUCUUCUUCAAUUUCCUUCAUAAGCUUUCUAUAGUUUUCAGCAUACAGAUCUUUUACAUCUUUUGAUAGUCCCCUCUCACCGCUAUUGUUUAACAUAGUGUUGGAAGUUCUAGCGUCAGCAAUCAGACAACAAAAGGAAAUCAAAGUCAUCAAAAUUGUCAAAGAUGAAGUCAAGCUUUCACUUUUUGUAGAUGACAUGAUAUUAUACAUGGAAAACCUGAUAGACUCCACCAAAAGUCUGCUAGAACUGAUACAUGAAUUCAGCAAAGUCACAGGAUACAAAAUUAAUGUACAGAAAUCAGUUGCAUUCUUAUACACUAAUAAUGAAGCAACAGAAAGACAAAUAAAGAAACUGAUCCCAUUCACAAUUGCACCAAGAUUCAUAAAAUACCUAGGAAUAAACCUAACCAAAGAAGUUCAUUAGUUCUAAGUAUUAGAACUGAGAUAGGGAAGAAAUAGUGAAAAUGGUAUAAAAAAAAAUAAACAGAUGAGAGGGUAGAAAGAGAAUCAAAAAGAAAUAAUGCAAGCUUGGAAUGAAGUGCUUAUUUGUGUCAACAACAUUCUUGUUUUUGUUUAAUUUUUGCUUUGUUUUGGUUUUGAUCUAGGGGUGGUGCAUAGUGCCACAAUAAUUGAGAUGGUCUUAAAGAAUGAGAUAAGUCCAGCUUUAGUUAAACUGAGUUUAUAUGAAAAUGUCUAACAGGUAAUUGGAAAUAUCGGUCUGUCACUCAAAAGCAAAGUAAAGUUGAGGAAGGAAAUUGGGAAUAACCCAGCAAGGUAAUAUUUGAGCUCAUAGGAAUACACGAUAUUGACAAACCAGAAAGACAUCCAAAGAAAGAAACUUAAGGCUUUUUUAAAGACCUGGAAGAGGGGGAGGCAGAAGUAGGGUCUGAGAAAUGCUCUUUAUUCCAGGUGCCUGCAGUUGUCAUUGAACUCAAGAGAGGGGAGAGAGUUUAAGUCAGCAAAUGUUCAAGAGUUCUAAAUGCUGCAGAGAGCUCAAGGAUGGAUGAGGAAUUGCAGAGAACCAAAUAUUGGAGUUAAGGAUAAACUUUGGUGAAUAACAAGAGAGCAAUUUCUCCAUAGUGAGAAUAAGGAGCCAGAUUGCAAAUGUUUACAAAGGGAAUUGUUGGUGAGAAAGUGAUGGUUGUUUGUUCCUUUCAGGUGUUGGAAUUGAAGAGAAAGAAAGAAUAGAAUGGUGGGGGAAAAUAGAGUCAAGGAAAACAGUUUUGGGAUCAGAGAGGUUUGUCUUAUUUAAAAGAUGAAGGACAGAAAGAAUUGAGAGGGAGAGACACAGAAGGUGUUAAUCAUUGGAACUGCAUCUUUCACCUCUCCUUAUUGGAAUCUUUCAAUCCCUUUUUCAUUUUAUUUAUGUAUUGGGUAUAUGGGUUUUGCCACUUUCAAGCAGAUAAUCUCUAUCAAUAGACUUUGGCUCACUGUAUCUCAUUUUCCAAUUUUAAUUUAAAAAAUUAAAGUUGUCUGAGUUUACUCAGGGGGGCAAAGUGGAAAUGUUUGCAAAACAGACUAUAAAAUGCAUAAGUGAAAAUUAAACACAAAAAUAUAAUUAUACAGAAAGUUUUAAAAUUUUUGUUUUAUUAUUACCACUUUCCUGUUCCUUGGAAUUCUUCCAAGGAGAACCAUGAGAGUUCAUUUUGUUACUCCCUUACAAGGAAGGGCCUGCCUGAAAGUCAACCUCAACCUCUUCUAGCUGUAGAUCAAGUUUGCUGUUUUUCCAUUCAACUGUGCCAACAUUCUAAAACUAUAAGGGCAGAAAAUAAGCAAAAAUACCAGUGAAAUAGCUGUAGGUCAGGUCUAAUAAAAAUGACAUAUUCACCAUUGUUCAUUUAGGCAUGUGAACUGACAUAUUCACAUCUUCAUAUUCAUUACUCAGGAAUCCAUUCUGAUUCUUAAAGUUAGUGUAUUAUGGUUAUCAUAUGAUUAUCUGUGGCAUCAAUUUUCCUUCCUGCUACAUUCUGUUUUUACAAGCUGUAAGCAUCAUAAACUUGGAAGAUUUUAUUGGAAAGUCAAGGUGGCAGAGUUAUGGAAAUGACUCAGAAAUGAUGCUUCCCUGCUGCAACAAUGUUGAUUUACUUGUAAUGCUAAACACACUCCACUAAGUCAUACACAGCGCUUGGGAGAGGGAUGACUAAUUAGCUCAGUGACUUAUCCGCCCACAUGCUCUGCUGAUUCUGAUACAUUAAAACAUUUUAUUAGCCUGCAAGGUCAGGAAAUCUUACUGCUUGGGUAGUAUUUCUAAAAAUUUAAUAGCAAUAGCCUGAUGUUAGUUCCUUUGCAUCUGUAGAUUGAAAAUAAAUCCUCAAAGAUGAAUAAACUCAUAUACUUAUUUCUUAGAACUUCUUUUCAUGUAGAGAUCUCAACAAAGAUUGAAACGUUUAAAAUGGAAUAAUCAUUGGCAAAGUCAGACAAUUAUUCAUAUGGUGACAAAUAAAUUCAGUUCUCUAAAAACUUAGAAUCCUCAAUAUAGUCUACUCAUUGUGCAUUUCAAUAUGAGAUAAAGAUUUGAAGUUCAUACUUGUGUGUAAAAUGCCCUCUUUUAGCAUAUCUGAUCAGUGGAUCAUCUUCAGCAAGCAUUUCUAAAGACUGACAUGUUUCAGGAUGUUCAAUGUGCAGCUGUCAAUGGUAGAGCUGUAAACAGAACCAGAGUAACUAAAUAUUCAAAUAGGGAUUCUGUAAUCAUAAGUGACAUUAGCCUACAUUCAAUCUUUAGUAGAUAGAACACACACAAAUUGAAAAUUUAUUUUCCAACAUCAUCACCAUAAUCAUUAGUUGGGCACAGAAAUAUUACAUUAAAUUAGACAACUAUGGGCCAUGUUAAGUUGGGAGAAUUAUGCUCAUCUCUUAGUUUUCUGCCAUUGACUAAAUCCCACAGUUGGUGCACUGUCUUCUUUGCAUACAAAAGAUGGUGGCAUUUAUUUCUAGGCAGUUAAUUGCUUUUCCAAUGUUAAUCACUUGAAAUAUCCUAUACAUUUGAUUAGCAUCUCUUAGAGCAAAAAGUACUGAAGCAAAAGUGUUGUGGGGAAAGGAAAAAAGGUAGAAAUCAAAAUAAAGCCAGAGGGCAAAGAAUGAGCUGGGUAGUUUAUUUUUGAAUGCAGAAAUAAUACAUUGAUUAACCUGAAGCAGGAAAUAUUUGAGAUUCAUAUAUGUUGCAACUUUUCCGUAAGUACCAUAUUGUCCCAUGUCAUUAAAAACAUGCAAUGCCAUUUUUUUUCUUUCCACUUUGGACUCAGUCAUUUUCUAUUCAACUGCUACAUUCUGAAGACUACCUACCUCUAAGAAAGCACAAAAAUAUUUGAAGUUGAGGAAAUAUAAAAACAGACCUAAUGAAUUAUUAAUUGCUUUUAAAUUUUAUGUGUAAAAGUUUGAUAAUCCUGCAAACCAAAGUGGUUCCCCAAAUCCUUGAGCACAAAGCACACUUUUUCUACUUUUUCUGUUUCCUCAUUCUGACACUUUUCAUUCAUAAAACAAUGAUUCAAUUUUUAUGUAUGUAUUUUUUUUCUCAAACUUUACAGUUCUGACAAUGAAUCAUGAGUUUCAACUGUGCCCACAUCUUAAACUAUCCAACUCUGCCCAUAUCCUAAAACUGUAAGGAUAGUAGUACAAAUUCCAGGAGAGUAGCUUUGAGUAAAUUCUAAUAAAAAUACUUACUCAGCAUUAUUCACUUAUGUAUAUGAACUGACAUAUUUGCUUCACUUUGGGUAGAACACAGCACAAGAAAGAGUAUGGGUGAUUGAGAUGUCACAGAUCUGAGUUCAAAUUUAAGUUUUGCUAUGAACCUCACUGUAACCUUGAAGAUAUAUCAUAUUCCAUCUCAGCAUCAAUUUUUUUGAGCUGUAAAAUGAUGAGAUUGAGUCAAAUGACCAUGCUUUGUGCCCAAUAACAUGCACCCCAAUUCUCAGUACAUAUACAAAUAAAAUGUGGAUGAAUUGAAGGCUUCCACAUAUGCAGGGGGAAAAAAGUACUUUUAAACACAGUUGGCAUCUGAGUUAAAAUGAGAAAAUCAAUAAACAUUUAAUUCAAGACAGAAAAAUGUGUUCAAGCUUUCUUACCAUAGUUAAGGGAAGGCAUCUUAUGACUUUGAACUUUACUUCCUAGUUACAAACAAGUCGCCUUUCUUCUUUAAAGAAGGCGGAAGUAUUUUACCUACCAAAUCAUCUAGUCAUUAAAAAGCAGUACACUGAUGUAAGAAUUUCCACUGGAAAUCAGGAGCUCUGUUCCACUUAGAUAGUGUAAUAUCUAUAUUAUAUCUCUAUUAAGCCCCAGAGUCUUAUUAACCUCAAUCCUUUUCAUGUGCAUUUUACUUAUUGAGCUAAAGUUGUGUAGCACAUAGACUGUUAAUAUCCAUUUAUACCUCCUUAAGCCUAGCUGAAUUUCUUGAACCCACAAUAAAGAGUUAUUUUUUGGAACAUAUGAAAGGGAAAAAAAUCUUCUGUUGAGCUAGAUUUAUGAAGACUGAAAAAGUCACCUAAUCACACAAUCAUCAUGUAAGUAAAUACAACCUUAAGUAACAAAAUGAACGUGUACGUAUUGGGAUAUUUUUUCAUUAAUAUUCUAGUUAAAUUACAAAGAGAUUGUCAACAGUUAUAUGGGCAGAAACAGGUCAUUUUUCACAUGAGUAAUUUAUGAAUGCAUUCUCAGAUGAAAUAGAGGCACCCAUACUUGGUGUCAGCUAUCCCCCCACAGAAAACUCACCUCAUGGUUGAAUGCCCUUAAGGCAGGCUCUCCAGCCAUCCAUUUUCAGAAUGGGCCAUGAUAUUUUUACCAAAAGGAAAAAGGGACUCAGGAUCUGCAUGCUUUGUUCAAAAGCAAAUGGUUAGCAGAGAGAUACCUGUAAAGAUUUCACCUCUGGCCUAAGACCCUCACUCUCCCCAGGAACUCACCUAAAAUAUUGUACACAGAGAUUUUUAAAACCUGUGUCUUUUUCUAUAUCACUAAAAUAUCCUUUUUAAAACAUGUGAUAUAUGAAGGGGAGAUUAACACUGAAGUACCCAUUUCAGAGCAGUCAUUUUAAACAGCAUAUACAAAUAUAUAAGAGGAGAGUGUUGGAGAGUAAGUGUGACAAUGUCCCUGAGAUCUUCUGAAAUUGGUUAGGAACAAAUUAGAGUUUCUGGAUUUCUUUUGAUUUGUAAUUAUGCAGAGAGACAGAGACAGUUUCUUAUUAUCAAUAAUGUGAGCUUCAUGUCCAGGCUUGUUUGAACUGGCGAAACUUAUGGCAUAUUUGGUAGGAAAAAAAUAAUAAAACAGAUAUGAUAUAACUCAUAAAUCUAAGUUUUCCUAUUGUUCCCUAGGAAAGAUGCCAAAAAAUAAGGUAUGAAAUGAAUUUAUAUCGCUUAUUCAAGCAGCAAUCAUUAAGUCCUGAGCCAUUUUCCCGUUUGAAUAAUGAUGGGAUUGCUCUCAUGGAAUAUGGAAUGUUUUCACAUAGGAACACACAUUUUUAUAUACAUGUAUAUUCCUUUGAAGGCGUUAUGCUUUCUGGUCUCUAUGCAGAAUAUAUAGCUUAACUGAUUCAGUUUCUUGAGCCACAAAAUGAGACAUGCAGAGAUCAAACACUUAAUAUUAAUUUGGCUUUUAUGCUACAGCCUGUAUAAGUUCAGGUUCACAAGGCUGUGAAGGGGAAUAUGUCAUAAACAAGAAAUAGUGAUGAGUCACAUGAAUUUGCAACUCUUUGGCCCUAUUUACUCUUUAGUUCUGAAUUUAAAUCACCUUUGAAAAUAGGAACAUAAAUGAAUUUAGACCACAAGAAUAAGUACUGCAUUAAAUACAUAGUCAAAAAGUAAAUAAAAUUCCUGCAGGAAGGUAAAAUGUACAAAUCCAGUACUAAAAACUAACCAAGAAUCUACAUUUCCAAAGUCUGCAACUGUUUUCUGGUAGUGACCCACACCUUGCCAUAACCUCAACAAAUUAAUAGAUAUGCGCUGAAGAAAAUUACUACAUUUCUUAUUUCUUUCCAGGUUGGCUACGUAAUGUAUACUGUAAUAUCUAUCUUUAAAUACUUUUCCUUCCCCCUAGAGGAUUUGAAGACUUAGGCUUUCUUAGAAAUGACAAAAAAACAUAAUACGUCUUUUUGAAGGCAGAACUGCAGGUAGUUUGAAGAAUGGUCUAAUCCAAAAAAUUCUCACGCUUGUUAUUCAUUAAUUCAUUCAUUCACUCACUCAAAAAUUAUUUGUGAGUUCUAUGACAUGUCCAGCACAGUACCAUGGAUACGAAUAUAUAAAAAAUCCUGACUCAUGCCCUCAAGGAGCACAGAGUCUAGUAAACCAGAGAAGUGAAACAACAUGUAUGAGGGAAAGAGUAGCACAAAAGAGGACAAUGUUUUUCUGAGGUAGAAAGAGAAGAGGGAAGUGUGCAGAAUCCCUAUGGCAAAUCAAAUAUGCUUUGUGCAGCCACCUGUUAUAACUGCAAUAGUUUCCACCUAGUAGUUAAGAAGAAACGUGUUCAGUUCAAUGUCAGCUUACAGCUAAGAGCUUUUGCUCACUUCUCAAGCUCCUCUGUGGAACUCUGGUGAGGUUUUGAACUACAGAGAGCAGCAGACAUAACUUCUGCCCCCACCAGUCAGGCCUGUGGGAGGUAGACUAUAUAUUCACCACUCCGUGAUGAGAAAAUAAUCAAAAGAGCAGCAACAUAACUCCCUUUGCUAUUUUCAAACCUCACUUGAAUGCAUAUAAUUGAUUGAUUCAAAUGUGCAUUCAGAAUCCUAGCUGUUAAUGCAGACAAUUUUAAUUUUCCAGCUUCUGCAGCAAAAGGAGAAUGGAAUGGACAGUUAGAUAGUCAUUACCAGCAACCAUCAUCACAACAACAAAAUCCUAAAAGGAAAUGCUAUGGAAAACUGAGAACUUUUAGCCUCUUCCAUCUUCAUACAUAAAGUCACAUGGUCACAUUCUGUUCUUGUCGUUGAUAGUUCCCUUAGUAGCCUUCCUCUAAAUAAGUAUUGCAUAUUGGGGAAAAGGUUUAGGAUAAGAAUAGAAAAAGAGAGGGAGAAGGAAAGAGAAAAGACUUCAUCUCACACUGGUAGUAUAUUUCUGUCUUUCCCUUAAACCUUUGAAAUUAUCUUUUAAAGUUUCAAAGACUUAAAAAUCUCAUUACUUAUGUUCUAAUGCUAUUGUUUAAUAUGUUUAGUAUGCUCUCUGUGGACAAGGAAUUGUCACCAAUCCAUUUACACAGAAAAAAAUCUUUUGGAAUUUUCAGAUGGCCCUGGUGCCAUUCUUCUAUUCAAAGUGAUUGCUUUCUCCCAUUCUGUAGGCUGCCUUUUAGUUUGUGAUUGUUUCCUUCACCAUGCAGAAGCUUGUUUUUUUAAUGUGUAUUUAUUAAACAGUGAGUGAGUGAGUGGGGGAAGGGUAGAGAGAGAGGAAGACAGAGGAUCUCAAGUGGCUCCAUGCUGACAGCAGAGAGCUGGAUGCAGGCUCGAACCCAUGAACCACGAGAUCAUGACCCAAGCCCAAGUCAAACACUUAACCAACUGAGCCACUCAGGUGCCCCAAGAAGCUUUUUAUCUUAAUGAAGUCCCAAUAGCUCAUUUUUGCUUUUGUUUGCCUUGCCUCCAGCAAUAGCCUAGUAAGAAGUGGCUCUGACCAAGAUCAAGGAAGUAGCUGCCUGUGUUCUCCUCCAGAAUUUUGAUAGUUUCUGAUCUUACAUUUAGGUUUUUCAUCCAUUUUGAAUUUAUUUUUGUAUAUGGUGCAAGAAAGUUAUCCAGUUUUAUUUUUCUUCAUGUUGCUAUACAGUUUUCCCAACAUUAUUUGUUGAAGAGACUGUCAUUUUGGCAUUCAAUAUUCUUUCCUGCUUUGUCGAAGGGGAGUUGACCAUACAGUUGUGGGUCCAUUUAUGGGAUUCCUAUUUUGUUGCACUGAUCAAUGUUUCUGUUUUUGUGACAAAACAAUACUGUCUUGAUGACUACAACUUUUUAAUAUACCUUGAAGUCCAGAAUCGGUAAUCCCUUCAAUUUUGCUUUUCUUUUUCAGGAUUCUUUGGCUAUUCAGGGUCUUUUGUGGUUCUAUACAAAUUUUAGGAUUGUUUGUUCUUCCUUUGUGAAAAGUGCUGAUGGUAUUUUGAUAGGGAUUACAAUAAAUGUGUAGAAUGCUUUGGAUUGUAUCGACAUUUUAAUAAUGUUUGUUCUCCAAUCUAUGAGCAUGAGCUUUUUUCCCAUUUCUUUGUGUCCUCUUCAAUUUUUUCAUAAGUGUUCUAUAGUUUUCAGAGUCGGAGAAGAUAUUUGCAAAUGGUAUAGCUGAUAAAGGGUUAGUAUCCAAAAUCUAUAAAGAAUUUAUCAAGCUCAAUACCUACAAAACAAAUAAUCCAGUUAAGAAAUGUGCAGAGACAUGAAUAAACAUUUUUCCAAGGAAGACAUUAAGAUGGCCAACAGAUGCAUGAAAAGAUGUUCAACAUCACCGAUAAUCAUGGAAAUAUAAAUCAAAACUAUGAUGAGAUACCACCUCACACCUGUUAAGAAUGACUAAAAUUAACAGCACAAUAUACAACAGGUGUUGACAAGGAUAUGGAGAAAGAGGAACCCUCUUACAGUGUCAGUGGUAAUGCAAACUGAUACAGCCACUCUGGAAAACAGUAUGGAGGUUCCUCAAAAAAGAUAAAAAAGAGAACUACCCUACAAUUCAGCAAUUGCACUACUAAGUAUUUGCCCAAUGAAUACAAAAAUAAAAAUUCAAAGGAGUACAUGCACCCCAGUGUUUAUAGCAGCAUUAUCAACAAUAGCUAAACUAUGGAAAGAGCCCAAAUGUCCAUCAUAUAUAUAGAUAUGAUGGAAUUUUACUCAGCCUUCAUUACUUCAUCCAAUAUUACUCCAAAAAGAAUGAAAUCUUGCCAUUUGCAAUGAUGUGGAUGGAGCUACAGUGUAUUAUGCUAAGAAAAAUAAGUCAGAGAAAGACAAAUACCAUAUGAUUUUAUCUACAUGAGGAAUCUAAGAAACAAAACACAUGAACAUAUGGGAGAAAGAAAGGGAGGCAAACCACAAGAGACUCUGAAAGAGAACAAAUUGAGGAGUGAUGGAGGGAGGGAGGUGGUGGGUGGGCUAAAUGGGUUAUGGGUAUUAAGGAGGGCACUUGUUAUGAUGAGCACUGAAUGUUAUAUGUAAGCGAUAAGUCACUAAAUUCUAUUCUUGAAACCAAUAUUACACUAUAUGUUAACUAGAAUUUAAAUAAAAAUUUGGGGGAAAAAGUGAUUGUUUCCCCAAUAUCCAUUCAUGAUAAAAACUCAUUCUCAGUAAACUAGGAAUAGUGGGGAACUUCCUUCACUUGAUAUAGAAUACCUAAAAAAAAUCCACAGAUAAUAUCAUAUUUAAUACUGAGAAACUCGAAGUGUUUCCAUGAAGACCAGGUAAAUGUCACAAAUGUACUUCCUCAUCACUCUUUUCAACAUUGUACUGGAAGUCCUUGCUAAUGCAGGAAGGAAAGAAAAGGAAAUUUAAAAAGGCAGGGCACCUGGGUGGCUCAGUCAGUUGAGAGUCCAACUUUGGCUCAGGUCAUCAUCUGACAGUUCGUGGGUUCAAGCCCCGUAUCCGGCUCUGUGCUGACAGCUCAGGGCCUGGAGCCUGUUUCAGGUUCUGUGUCUCCCUCUCUCUCUGCCCCUCCCCUGUUCAUGCUCUUUCUCUGUCUCAAGAAUAAAUAAACAUUAAAAAAAAAUUUUAAGGCAUAUAUCUUUGGGAGGAAGAUAUAAAAAUUUCUUUGUUCACAUAUGACAUGAUCAUCUACAUAGAAAAUAUGAAAUAACAAAAAAAAAUCUCUUGGCACUAAUAUGCAAUUAUAACAAGACUGCAAGGUACAAAGUUAGUAUGCAAAAGUCCAUUGCUUUCCUAUAAACCAAAAUAAACAAGUAGAAUUUGAAAUUUAAAACACAAUAUCAUUCCAUAAAAAAUGAAAUACUUAGGUAUUAACCUAACAAACUAGAAAAAAACUAAUAAAAGAAAUCAAAGAACUAAAUAAAAGGAAGAUAGUCCAUAUUCAUGGAUAGGAAGUCUCAAUACUGUAAUGAUCUCAGUUGUUUCCAGCUUGACCUAGAGAUUCAAUGCUGUGUCAAUCAAUAUCCCUGCAAGUUAUUUUAUGGAUAUUAAGAAAAAAAAACUGAUUCUAAAGUUUAUGUGGAGUCCAAGACACAAAAUAGCCUAGAAAAGAGAGAACAAAGUAGGAUGAUAGAUAGUACCUGACAUCAAGACUUACUACAGAGGCUACAGUAAUUAAGAUGUGUGGUAUUAACAAAGUAAUAGAAAGAUUAACGGAACAGAUUAGAGAGUAUAGAAAUAGACCCACACAAAUAUAGUCAACAUAUCUCUGACAAAGAAGCAAAGUCAAUAGAGUGAAGUACAGAUAGUGUCUUCAAUGAAUGGUGCUGGAAACAGUAGACAUCUACAUGAAAAAAAAAAAAAAGUGAAUUUAGACCCAGACCUACACUCUUCACAAAAAUUAACUCAAAAGAUAUUGAAUCCAAAUGUUAAAACAAAAUUAUAAACCUCCUAGAAGAUAAUAUAGGAGAAGCAUAUGUGAUUUUGGAUAUAUUUAUGCUUUUUUAGACAUAACAUCAAAGACAUGAUCCAUGAAAGAAAAAAAUUGAUAAGUUGGACUUCAUUAAUACUAAAAACUUAUGUUCUGUGAAAAAAACAAUGUCAAGAGAAUUAGAAGAUAAACCACAGAUUGGGAGAAAAUAUUUCAAAAGAAAUCUCUUAUAAAGGACCAUUAUCCAGAAUAAACAACUUUUUUUUUAAUUUUUUUAAAUGUUUAUUUAUCUUUGAGAUAGAGAGACAGAGGGAGACAGAGACAGAGUGCAAUCAGGGUAGGGGCAGAGAGAGGGAGACAGAAUCCGAAGCAGGUUCCAGGCUCUCAGCUGUCAGCACAGAGCCCGACGUGGGGCUCAAACUCAUGAACCACGAGAUCAACUUGAGCUAAAGUCGGACGCUUAACAGACUGAGCCACCCAGGAGUCCCUAAACAAAGAAUUCUUAAAACUCAACUAUAAAAAACAGAAAGUCCAUUUAAAAAAAUAGGCCACAGAACUUAACAGACACCUCACUAAAGAAGAUCUAUAGAUGAGGAAAAAAAGCGUAUAUCAAAAAGUGCCCAUAUCUUUGUCAUUAAAACAACAAUUAGAUACCAGUAGGUACCGAAUCAGAAUGGCCAGAACCUGGAACACUGACAACACCCAAUCCUGGUAGGGUAUGGAGCAAUAGGAACUCUCAUUCAUUGCUGGUGGGAACACAAAAUGAUUCAGCCACUUUGGGAAAUAGUUUGGCAGUUUUCUAUAAAACUAAACAUAUCCUUAUCAUGGUACCCAGUAAGAAUGCUUCUUGGUAUUUACUCAAAGGAGUUGAAAAUCUAUGUCUACACAAAAACCUGCACAUGAAUAUUUACAGCAGCUUUAUUUAUGAUUGUCAAAACUUGGAAGCAACCAAGUUGUCCCUCAGUAGGUGAAUGGAUAAGUAAACUUUGGUGUUUUCAGAGGAUAGAAUAUUAUUUAUCAACACUAAAAAGUGAGUUAUCAAGCCACGAAAAAAACUUGGAAGAAACUAAAAUACCUAUUACUCAGUGCCAGAAGCCAAACCAAAAAUAGUGUGUACUAUAGGAUUCCAACUAUAUGACAUUCUAGAAAAGGCAAAACUUUGGUGAUAAUGAAAAGAUUUGCUAGGAGUGAAGGGAUGAGGGAGGGAUGAAUAGGCAGAGCACAUAAGAGUUUUAAGGGAGUGAAAAUAUCCUGUAUGAUGUCAUAAUGAUGAAUAUAUGUCAUUAUGCAUUUGUCUAAAUCCAAGAGUGAACCCUAAGGUAAACUAUGGACUUUGGGUACCUCUGAUGUAUCAGUGUAGAUUCAUCCUUGGUAACAAACGUACUACACUGGUGGUGAAGGAGAAUGCACAUGUGAGGACAGGGAGUAUGUGGGAUAUCUCCACACCUUCUCAAUUUUGCUGGAAUUUACAACGGCUCUAAAAAUAUUAAAUAUUGUUUUACAAAGUUAUUGUUCUCAAGGUACAUGAUAACAUCUACAAAGGGAGUCCAGUCUGCUUAGAUCAAGGAAGCUGGAGAAUGUUGACUGGGAGUGGGCUUAUGGAGAAGUCAGGCACUUCAAGUAAAAGGUAUUUAAUAACCAUUAGUCAAAUGAAGGGGUACUAAAUCUGAGUUUGUGCUAUACUGUGAGGGGGUAAGUGUCUAUAUUUCUUCUAGAACUUAGUAUAUGUGCCCUUGUCUAGUUAUUUCUCAGCUCCUAAUGUGGUGCCUAGUAUAUGAUUAGUAUUUAAUUAAAAUGAGCUAAGUAAAAUAAUGUCUAUGGAAAUGGCCAUUGACAUCGGGAGCCUAUUUAUUGUACUAGUUGUGGAAACAGAAAUGAGAUCCUGCAUUGGAAUUUAAGGAUGGAAUAAUAAACUCUUCACAGAGUGUUAUGACCAAUUCUCUAUUUCAGUGUCCUAGUGCCUGCCACCCUGAAGAUAAUGCACAGUGAUCACUAACUCAGGAAAAUUAUUGCAUAAAUAAAUAAAUAAAUAAAUAAAUAAAUAACAGAACAAAGCAACUGACAAAAAAGCCCAACAACUAAAACUUAACUAUUCAUGGAGAUGUGAAAAAUGACCAAGAAUCGGAAGUAGUUAUUUUAAAUUAUGAAUUUAAUACAAUUUAUGAUAUCAUAUAAAAAUGAAUUAACCUGGCUUUUUUUAAAAAUCUUUUUAAAUGCUUAUUUAUUUUUGAGAGAGAGAGAGAGAGAGAGCGCAAGGGGGAGGGGCAGAGAGAGAGGGAAACACAGAAUAUGAAGCAGGCUCCAGGCUCUGAACUGUCAGCACAGAGCCUGACACAGGGCUUGAACCCAAGAACUGUGAGAUCAUGACUGGAGCUGAAGUCCUAUGCUCAACUGACUGAGCCACCCAGGCACCCCAACCUGGCUUUUAAGAUCAAAAUGUAAUAUAUUAAUUUAUACCUCAUAAUCAGUAACAAUGGAGGAGUGAUACAAAUUAAAAGGUAAAAAUUAAAGGAAUAUAUCCCUCUAGAAAAUUGAAAAAUAUCAGUUACUUUGAUCCUCUGCAAUCAGAAUGGACAAAACAUUGGAAAACACAUUGCAAAAAAUACUCUCCGCCUGACUUACGUCAGUCUCUUUUAUCUUCCCUCUAGCUGACUCAGUAAUUAAUAGAUACUAUCUCUGUCUAUAUUGGGCAUUGUUGACAUCAUUUUUUUUUCAGCUAAGUUUUUUUUUCUUUUAAUGAGCAUUAACAAAUAAUCUAUUCUAAUAUCAUUUUCCAAAUUCAUUGGAAAUAAUCAUAAAAUUAUGGGUACCUGGGUGGCUCAGUCGGUUAGGCAUCAGACAUCAGCUCAGGUCAUGAUCUGGUGGUUUGUGAGUUCGAGCCCCGCAUCAGGCCCUAUGCUGGAAGCUCAGAGCCUGGACCCUGCUUCAGAUUCUGUGUCUCCCCCUUCUCUGCCCCUCCCAUGCUGAUGCUCUGUAUCUCUUUGUCUCCUAAUAAUACAUAAAUGUAAAAAAUUAAGAAAAAAGAAAUCAUAAAAUUAAAAGCAGAAUUCAUAUUUACUAAUAAAAAAUGUGAGGGAAGAAACAUCAGUAUAUUGCAUGAAAGAUUUUAUAAAUAAGUCGAGCAUGAAAUGAAAACAAUGAUGGAGCUGACAAUGUCAUUUUAGAAAAAGUAGCGGAUGACCUAUCUGGCUCUGAAACACCAACACAAAAUGCAUUUUUACUUAUCUUAUAAUACUUCAGGGUUUCCCUAUAAAAGAUAAGAUUGAAGUGAAUGGAAUUUUUGAAAAUCUAAAUUCCUUAUGUCCUUGAGUUUUCUUUCUCUUUUUAAAAUUAUUUAUUUGCUUUGAGAGAGAGAGAGAGAGAGCGCGCACACAUGCUUGCACAGGCACGCAAGUUGGGCAGGGGCAGAGAGAGACUCCCAAGCAGGUUCCACCCCUUCAGCACAGAGUCUUUUGCAGGGCUUCUCGAUCAUAUGUACCUAUUUUAAGAGAGGAGAUAGGACUUUCACUGAUUAUUAAAUAUGUCUGCAUUAGGAUCUUCCAAAGAAACAGAUCCAAUAGGUUAUUUAUUAUAUGUUAUUUUGAAAUAUAUUUAUUACACAUUAUUUUAUUUAUAUUUAUAAAGUGAUGUAUUAUGAGGAACUGAUUUAUGUGAUUAUGGAGGCUAUGAAGUCCGACAGCCUCCCAUCUGCAAGCUGGAGACCCAGGAAAGCCAAUGAUAUACAUCAGUUCAUGUCCAGAAGCCUGAGAAGUAGAAGGCAAUGGUUUCAGUUCAAAGGCAGGAGGAAACUGAUGCCCAACUCAAAUUGGCAGCAAGAAAGAAUUCGGCCUUCCUCUGCCUUUUUGUUCUGUUCAGGCCUUAAAUGGAUGGGAUGAUGUCCAUUCACACUGAGGAGAAUCCACUAAUUCAAAGGCUAAUCUCUUCCAGAAACACUCCCACAGACCCACUCAAAAAUAAUGCUUAACCAGUCAAGUUGACACACAAAAUUAACCAUCACAAUAUCUAUGACCAACAAAACACUAAAGACCAUUGAAAACUCAUUCAACUGUACUUAUUUUGCUAAAGACUCGCUAAAGACUGAGUCAUUUGAUCUAUCUUCUUUUAAUGAGCAAAAAUCUUACAGUAAAUCUAAUUUCUCUCUGAUUCAAUGUCAUUUUCAUUUGCAGCCUAAAUUUCAGUUUUUGUCUUUAGUCAUUGGCUCUUUGCCUCUUUUUUCCCCCUCUGAGAGAAAGCAAGAGAACAAGGGGGGAGGGGCAGAAGAAGAGAGAAAAAAAAUCUUAAGUGGGCUCUAAGCUCAGCUCAGAGCCUGACACAGGGCUCAGUCCAUGGCCUGAGCUGAAAUCAAGAGAUCAUGAUCUGAGCAGAAAUCAAGAGUUGGAUGCUUAAUCUAUCAAUCCACCCAGGCACCCCGAGUCAUUGCCUCUUCUGUUUAUGCGUGUUCUUUCUUACAAUUUCAUCUUCUUUUUGGCUUUAGUUACCGUUUGUGUACUGUUGAAUGUUUUCUCUUUAUCUCAAUCUCUGAUCCUCCUCCCGUGCUAUAACAACCGAAGUGUAGCUUUGGUAUAUCUUUAUUGCAUGUUUCACAUUUCUUUAGUGUGUGUUUCUAAAUGAACUGAUUAACAUUCACCCACUCAAAAUCUAUUGUGAGAUUUUCAUUUCCUGUAACAAUCAAUGUCAUCAUCCAUCCAGUUUCUCAAGGUCUUCAUUAAAUCACACCUAUUGUAGCUUCUCCUUCUUUUAGGGUACAAAAUUUCUUUAAUUUUGUUGAAUAAAUGUCUCUUGGAUCUUCUCUUCUUUCACACCAUUAUAUCUAAAUUUAAGCUCUUGUCAAGACUUAAUGAGUAAUGGCAACUUCCUCCUGAAUCCUCUUUCUCCUAAAUCCAUUCAAUUUCUCUUCUAGUGUCACCAAAAUAAAUUACUCAAAAAAACAAUAUUUUUGGUUAAACAUGCUUUCUUGUGUUUUCAACUCCUAGCACUUACUUUAGAGGCCACUUCUGGGCAAUAGACUUGAAAAAUGGAAACCUGAGUAAGGUGGAAGUGCCCACAGUGACCCCAAAUCCCUGGCUGAAUACAAACAGGCUCAUGAACUGACUCACCUUGAAAUAACCAUAAGCCCUAAGUAACCAAUGUGCUACCAAUUUUUUUAAUUAUUAAUUAAUUAAUUAAUUAUUUAUGUUGAGAGAGAGAGAGAGAGAGAGAGAGAGAAAGCAUGAGUGGGGAAAGGACAGAGAGAGAGGAGAGAGAGAAUCCCAAGCAGGCCCCACACUGCCAGCACAGAGGCCAAUGUGGGGUUCAAUCCCAUGAAAUCAUGAGACCAUGACCUGAGCUGAAAUCAAGAGUUGACACUCAACCAACUGAGCCAUCCAGGCACUGCCCAAUGGGCUACUUAAAACCAGCCACAGUUACCAAAAAAGGGAAAAGUCCAUAAGUCCCCCUACUUCCUCACCUUUCCAAUUUAAAUAUACCCUCCCAAAUAAAUAAAUAAAUAAAUAAAUAAAUAAAUAAAUAAAUAAUAAAUCCAUCCCCACCCACUGGUUUGUGGCAGACGGUUCUCUCCUUUGAUGUCCUGCCCACUGCUCCCUUGUGGUGUAUUCAAUAAACUUCUUUCUCCUUUGUUCUGCCUUGGGUGAAUUGUUUCACCAGUUGUGCCACCAGCUUCCACAGAUUCAGGUCACCUCACAUUUUGGAACUCCCGUGUGAUCAAAGAGACCCACCCUUCCCACACAGCACUACAUUUUUUUUUUUUUUUGGCAUUCUUGCUUCCCUCAUUACAUAGUAAUGCUGGAUGUCUCACCCACCUUUCCAGUGACUCCCCUAGUCCAGAGCAUGUAAGGAACAAAUAAAACUAUAGCCAAGAUGGCUGGCUAUCUGUCUACAAAACGUGUGCUUCCCCUUCCAUAGUGUUGAGUUUGGGGACACAUCGGCACAGCUGUGGACUACAUUUCCAAACUCCCUUAUAGUGCGUGUGACUAAUUCCCAACAGUGAAAUUUAGGAGAAGUGAUAUAUUGCUUCUAGACCAUGACUUUUAACAAUUUGGUAGAUGUUACUCUCAUUUUUAUCUUUCACUAGAUGAAUUCGGAAAAUUCCAAGGCCUUGUAGAAAAAAACAAAAAAAAAAAAGCCAAAGAUUGAAAAACUCUAAGAACCUGAAAACAUACAUUAGAGGGGAGGUUUUGCCCUGCCAGAAGGACAUUCACUGGGGAACAUGAGUGAGAAUACAUUUCUAUUAUAUUAAGACAUAUUUGUUUAAAGUGUUAUGGCUGCUAAUUAUUCCAAUAUAACUAGAUUCCAGUAUAACUAAUUAUUCCAAUAUAACUUAGUAUUCCAAUACUUAAGUAUUUUGAAAUAAAUGUUUAUAAUAUACCUACAGGUUAUACAUUUGCACAAAUGGGUGAAGGCAGCAAAAGAGAAAAGCAUUCCUCCUUGCAUUUCCUAAAAUGUGAUUACAGUAUAAUGAUCUGCCAUUCAAAAUAUACCUCUUCCUUCCAAUAUAGAGGGAAAAAAACCAGAAUAUUAUUCAGAACAUAUCAUAAAAUUUGCGUCUUUAUAAAAUUUCUCCAUUUUAAUAGGAUUUUACUUUUAACACACAAUUGAAAAGGACCAUUUUGUUCAAGAAAUUUAAGAAAAAGAACAAUACAAAUAAUUAAAGAAAAUCCAGACCACACUGACAACUAAUUAGGGCAAUGAAAGCAUUUGGAUAAGAGCCCAGUUAAAACUAUCCAAGAAAAAUAGAUUAAGCUAUUUGAAUAACCACAUUAUACACAUUGUUUCUUCAUAUAAACUGUGUGAGUAUCUUGAGAUUGCUUAUUUUGCCCAGUUUGUAUGUAAUGGUUUUUCCCAUAUUUGCAUUGUCAGUCAUUUUGGUAGAAUUGAAUUAAGUGGGAAAAGAAAAUUUAAUCAAGAACUUUCCCCUCCAGCACCCUAUCCUUCCUGUUAUACAUUAGAAAUUUGUGAAAUGAGAUAUAUAUAUAUAUAUAUAUAUAUGUGUGUGUGUGUGUGUAUAUAUAUGUACAUAUAUAUAUAUAUACACACACACAUAUAUACACACACAUAUAUACACACAUAUAUAUACAUAUAUACACACACAUACACACACACAUAUAUAUAUAUGUACAUAUAUAUACAUAUAUAUGUAUAUGUAUGUGAGGUGAUGAAUGCAUAAUAUAGAGACCUAUUUAGACUUGAAUUUUAUGUAGAUAUAUGCAUCAGGUCUUUUUGAGUAUAAUACAAUACAUGUUCAGAGUACAAUAAUUACUAAUUUUUAUUGAUCUUACUAUCUGCAAAAGUCUGAAGUCCACUUGGUUCUUGCUACUCAAAGUUUGAGCCAUGGACCAAUUAAACCAACAUCACCCAGAGCUUGUUGGAAAUGCAGAACUUCAAGUCUCACCUUAGCUGAUUUAGUUGAUUUGCAUAUAUGUUAAAAUUUGACAAUCCCUUCUCUAGGUAAAAAAGAGGAAAUAAAUAAUGUGUUAAUGACAGCCUUAAAGGGAUGCACUACUCUGACAAUUUUUUUAUUCCAGUUUAAAUAACAUAUUUCCUGAAAUUAGGACUUUUGUGAGUAACAUUAUCUAGACUAAAUCAGUUGCCUCUUUAGCCUUUGAGUACUAGCAUUAAGCUUUAGAGAAAGAGGCAAGAUCUUCUUAUACAGGCUUUGUUAUCAGUUAAGAUGCUUCCAGCUAAAAAUAAUGAAAAAAAAUUCAUCUCCACUAUUCUUAGGUAGGAAGAAAUCCUUGGGAUCACAGGUUAGGGCGGCCCUCAAAAACGACUGAGUCCAACAGCUCUGGUUUCUUUUGUUGGCAUUUCCCUUGGCUUUACCUUCUUUUCUAUGGAGCUUCAUUUGGAAGCUACCAAAAGACAGCAGAAAAAGUGACAGGUCUUGUAUGUGGCAAAGUGAUUCCAGAUGAAUAGAGACUAUCUUUCCUUGUGACUAACACUUAAGAAAAAGAAUUUUUUUUUCAGGUUUCCCACAAAUAUCUCUUUGCUUUUCAUUGUUUCAUUAGGACAUCAUGCCCUUGCAAAAUCAGUCCUUGUAAUCUCCAGGAAUGUGAUUCAUUCAUUGACUUUGACCAGAAUUCUUGAAAUAAUGAUUGUCAAGGGCUUGAAAGUACCUUCAUUGACCUACAGUCUUGGAUCAAUUCCUUCAACUGUUCUCAAGUACCUAUUCAAUAAGGGGGAGGGGUGAAAGUUGAAAAGCGAAUCAUAGUGUUUACCAAAUUCUACAUUUCUUUUAUGAGACUCUCAUAAUUGUGCCUCUCUCUUCUCAUUACCAUCUCUCUGAUCAUAUUGUCACAUGACCUUCUGACACUUGAAUAAAACUAGUUGCUUAAACAUGACACUUGUUCUACUGUACAGUUUUCAUUAUGCCAAAGCUUUCCCCUGGCUCUUUGAGGGAUGAAUCUUUUUUUUUUUCUUUUUUUAAUGUAAUUGUUUUGUUUUGUUUUUCCUACCAUAAUUCCCGCUUCAAGGAUUCACUAAGGCCACCCAACCAAGCAUAACCUCCAUGCCCAGGAAUUUCUUUCAUCUGUAUUUCCCAUUGCAGAAACAUGCUCUAAUAGAGUGGAGCCAGCUCUUCAGGAAGCUGAGACCAAUGUUUACUGUGCAUGACUAAGUGAGAGGAAAUCCUGUUGCCUUUUGGAUGACUAGCUUGAAUGUGUUCCCCUUAGUUACUGAAAGAUACUAAACAACAUAAAACCAUAUCAACUCUUUCAGGUAUGAUUCUAUGGCACACAAAAGCACAGGUCCAGAGAGAUACAGGACAGGAUUUGUCUGUAUCUCAAACACAUUUGAAAUGUCAAACACAUUCCAGUCUCAAGAAAAGUUCAAGUUAGUGUACCAGGGCUGCAGUGGCAAUUUUUACUCUUCCUCUCUGUUAGCAAACCAGGCUCUUUUUGCUUGCUUAAGUCUCUGACAUAUAUAUAUAUAUUUUUCCAAAUAUAUUCCAAAUAUAUUUGUUGAAUAAAGGAACUCUAAUCUUUUUUUUUUAAAGGAACUCUAAUCUUGAGUAAACUGGCUGAGAGUUCCAUAUUUUUAAAAAUGGUCCAUGAAUUUUGCCUUAUUAAUUAUGAUCAUUGCUUGAUACUCCAAACAAUGAUUAGAAGAGAGUAGUAGCAGAAUGAAAAAUCUUUGUAUGUGUCUCUCUACUUGGCUUUAGAAUUAUUUUUUCUCUUUUAUUUUAAGACUUGGAAUUAAUCAUAAGAUAGAUGAGCAAAGCCUAAACAAUAAAUGGGCAUAUUAAAUUUUUAAAUGUUCAUUAAUUUAUUUUUGAGAGAUAGAGAGUGUGAGUGGGGGAGGGGCAGAGAGAGAGGGGGGGGGGGAAGAGAAUCCAAAACAGGCUCCGCACUGUCAGGGCAGAGCCUGACAUGGGGCUCGAAGUCACGAACUAUGAGAUCAUGACCUAAGCCGAAGUCGGACACUUAACUGAGCCACCCAGGCAACCCAAACGAACAUAUUAAUUUUAAAAGAGUUUAAGCAAGCCAAUUUUCAUUGAAAUUUGCCUGACAUGAGUCAAUGGUAACUGCUUAUAAGUGAAGAAAUAAUAUACAUCAUAUAUGUGCCCUUCAUGGUUGAUAUACAUAAAUGAAUUCUCAAAUGAAUUAAGGAUAUCCACAGUAUUUUGGAAUAUCUGGAAAAAUUUUCCCCUUUAGGAUCUGAUCAUUUCCUCCAUCUCUUCAGAUGCUAUUCAUUUUUCACUCCUCAUUCCAUACAGUCUUCCGGUGAGACUUCCCAACUGGACAAGUCCAUAGAAUUUUUUUUUCCAUUUUUUAUACAUUAAUAACCCUUACAGACUAGAUAUUAGUCUCUAAUAGUUUUGUGGUUAUCAAUCUUCUUUUGCCAAUAUAAUUCAAAUUUCUCAAGACCACAGUAAAAUCAGCAUACUUAUACCCUACACAGGAUGGAACAUAACAUAAGCCCUUGAUGAAAACUAAUUGACUGAAAAAAAUCACCAAAAGUCCAUUUCCUUUCCUUCAUUUCCAAACUAAAUGUGACAUUUACAAAGAAUAUGGUAAAAAUCGUUGUGGCUUAAAAUUAUUUGUUCCACCUUAAAACCACCUCCAUAUAUUUCUAGCAUGACUCUUCUCAUUGUUGAUUCAAUGAUGCACAGAUGGUGAAUCCUCUCUCCAUGUCUUGUGCCUUGCUAUGAUUAUCCUGCUUUCUCCGGUGCCCAAUCCACCAGCAAAUGACAACAAUAAUACCUUAACACUUCUAACAACUGUAUUCUUUUUUCCAAUGCUAUCUUUUUUUUUAAUUUUCUUUUUUUUAAUGUUCAUUUAUUUUUGGGACAGAGAGAGACAGAGCAUGAACAGGGGAGGGGCAGAGAGAGAGGGAGAAACAGAAUCUGAAACAGUCUCCAGGCUCUGAGCUGUCAGCACAAGCCCGAUGCCGGGCCCGAACUCACGGACCGUGAGAUCAUGACCUGAGCCGAAGUCGGAUGCUUAACCGACCAAGCCACCCAGACGCCCCACCAAUGCUAUCUUUGUACAAACACCUCUAAUAUUUGCCUAGCAAAGAGUGAACAUAUUAAGAAUAAGUUCAAUAAAGUAUAUUUUAAAAUAUAAAAAUACAGGAGCACCUGGGUGGCUCGGUUGGUUAAGCAUCUAACUCUUGAUUUUGACUUAGAUCAUGAUCUCAAGAUUGGUGGGAUCUAGCCCUGCUUCAGUCUCUGCACUGACAAAGCAGAGCCUGCUUGGGAUUCUAUCACUCCCUCUCUCUCUGCCCCUUCCUAACUCACGUGCACACUCUCUCUCUCACAAAAUAAAGAAGCAUUUUUUUUAACUUAAAAAAAUAUUUAUAUAAAUACAAAUAGAACCCUAUUAUAACAUAUCUCAUUACUAGGUUCAGAUCAUAUUGCAAACAACAUCCCUGGAAACAGCAAAAUCAUGGAGAAUAAAAUUAUUAAAGACAGGAAUUUGCACUGUAAAUUGCCUAUUUCAUAAAAGAUAGUAAAGUUUUCAGAAUAAUGUAACACUGGGGUUACCAAAGCCUUGAUCUAGAAGACAUUAGUAAGAGUGUCUUGAAAAUGUGAUAUUCACAUAAGACUGGGACAUGUUGAACUUAAAUCCCUCUCCCGUGAAUUUAUUUGGGGUUGAAGGCUCUAAAGUACAUGGGAAAAGGAAACUCCUUUGAAUAUGUUGCAACUAUAGAAUAAAGUUUCAAAUCUAUUCAAGCACAAAGGAAUAUUUAUAUGGAAAACCUAUUAACUAGUAGAGGUGUUUUGAGGGACAUUGGGGAAAUGCUGAGGUAGUUAAAAUGGAUUUGUACUGGAAAUCAAGAAAGCUAAUUUCUAGUCUUAGACAGGUAGCUCCAGGGCUUAGGGAAUCACACAAUUACUGCAAAGCAGACACGUGCAUUCUGUUCCAAUUAAAAUAGAUCUUUAAAUGCAUUUCAUCCAUGAAUUAAAAAAUAUAGUACUGAUAUUUCUCUUUGGAUUCUCUGAGUUUCAAUAAGAGCAACCCCAAUUCAAAUACAUGUCCUAAGGCUUAAGGUUACACAAUGGUGUAACCGGUCCAGGCCACACUUUUUUUUUUUCCCUUGUCUCUACUGGGUGUCCUACUUUUACUUCAAUGGGUAGAAUUCCCCUCAUUGUCUCAAAAUGCUUUCUCCAGCUACUUGGCUGCAUUCAUCUGUAUUCUGCAAAUGUGGGAGAGUAUUUUUUCCCCAAAUUUUCAGCAAAUUCUGAGCUUUACUCCAAUUAGACUCAGCGUUAUAUACUCCAUGAACUAAUCACAUUGGCCAGAUUUUGAAAUGCACCAAUAGGGUUUAUCCUAGGUCAUGGGCUCCUACCCCUGCAAGCAGGAAGGGGCUUAGUUUCUCUCAAGCUACAAGGAUCUCUAGUGGCAAAUGGGGAUCUCGAAAAAUACAAAAUAAGACAUCGGCAUGCAUUCAGCAACAAAAACUAUCCUUUUCAUUAGAGAAGAAUGCAGAAAGGAUCAAAAUUAUAAAUUUAUAAAAUGAUAAAAGCUUAAAAAGAGAAGAGUGUAAAUGAAAAUAAGUGAUCUGAGCUGAAUCUUUAAAAAUACACGUUAUGUGAAUAAUAGACAUUGUUAUCUAAGCAUAUCUUUUUAAAAUGUAAUCCUCACUUUGUUAGUGAAUCAAACCAUUCUUUUAUAGCAAACUAAUCUGUGUUUUCGGUAAGACAUACAAAUGCCUACAGAAACUGGACAGUUGCUGAUUUUCAUCGAAAAUUUAAUUAGGAACACAAUUUCAGAGAGUGAAUGACACAAAAACCAAAUGAGAUGACAAGUUUUCCGCAACUUUUUUUCACAUGCUUAAGAAAAUACACUUUUGAUUUUACCAAUGAAAUUUUAGUGCAUUUACUCAGAUUUUGAAAACCCAUUGUUUAUAUUAUGUUAUAUUAAUUAUAUUAAUUAUAUUAAUUAUAUAUAUUAUAUUAUAUUAUAUUAAUUGUAUUAUAUUAGAUGUACAAACUUCUGAAAUGAGAAAUGUUAGCUCUUAACAGUGAUGGACUAAAUUUUAAUAAGUAGGAAAUUUUUAGCUUUGAAUUCAAAGAGCCCAAAACAUUUGUGUAUUCAUUGGUACUAUAUCGAAAACAACAAAGAAUGUUUAAGUCAUACAUUAUGUGUUCUUUAAGACAAAACAAAAAUGAUAAAGAAUGCUUACUGACAUAAUUUGUUAUACUUGCAUGAAGAGGUCAACAUGAGAUUCAGCACAUUAUGAACUGCUCUGGUAAUACAUAUCUCUAAAACCCAGAAAAGACCGUGUCCUACCCCUUGGCUUAUGAGCAAGGUACAAGCCUAGAGAUAGUCCCAUGUUGGGUUUGGUAGGUCUGGUUUAAACCCUGUAUGUUUUUGUUUUUGUUUUUGUUUCUUGUUUUAAAGCACCCUAGGAAACUUCUACAAGCGCCUGCAGCUUGUAGCCAUCCCUGAUGGAGGUACCGGCAAGGUGAUGCCGACAGUGGGUGAGACCCACCACCUCCCUCCCUGUGUGCGAGGCUCCCAGCACCCUGGUUCUCUAAGGACACGCAGUCCUUCUUCACCCCUGGGCAGUGAGCUCCUCUUUAUGGAAGAAGGUGCAGCACCUACAGGUUAUCUCAGCACUGCUUUCUUUGAGCACUCCUCAUUCUGGGCUCCAGAGAAAGUGUCACCAGCCCAGCCCUGACAAUUUUUGACAAGUAAGCCACAGUGACUCAAGAGGAAGAGUCUGACAGGGUCACUCAUGAAUGUCCUUCAGGAGAGGGAGUGUUCUGGCAGCUGGCUCUGCUGCUUCCUUGCUAGUUCCCUGGGGGGCCAGGUGUUCCCCUCAGCCUCAGCCCCGAGGUCACCAUCUGAACACAAGGGACUGAAGUGUGACCACAAACCACCUCACUUCUCCCCCUGGGUUAGAUCUCACAGAUGUGGCAAAAAGAAGGCCUUCAGCUGGGCCUGGACCACAGGCCUGAUAAGCUGUGCAGGUCUGGUCACUGGAGAGUCCUCCGCUCUCCCUCACCUGCGGCCACUUUUGUUUUCAUCCUCUCCCCACCCUCCCUAUCCUUGCAGAAUCAGGCUUUACAAAAUAGCUAAGAUUCUGGGGCACCUGGUGCCUCAGUCCAUUAAGCAUCCGACUCUUGAUUUCAGAUCAGGUCAUGAUCUCAGGAUUGGUGAGAUCAAGCCCCACAUUAGGCUCUGUACUGGCAGUGCAGAGCCUGCUUGGGAUUCUCUCUGUGCCUCUCUCCCUGCCCCUCCCUGACUUGCUCUCUCUCUCUCUUUCUCUCCCUCAAAAUAAAGAAACUGUAAAAAGCAUUAAAAAAAAAAAAACAGCUAACUCCUUCACUUCAAAGGUAAACACUCCAUCUUUGACAAAGACAAUGAGUGUUAGUGUCGAUCUUAAGUAAAGUGCUGUGCACAUUUGGCAUUGAGCUCCCAACUUGCAAUCAGAACAGGUUUGUGCCCCUCUUAUUUGGAAAUUAUCAAGUUACCACUGCAUCACAUCUUAUACCAACACAAUGUAUUUUUUUAAAACUGUUGCUUGAGAUUUCCUUUUGUCAAUCUAGAUCCAAAGAAUACUGAGAAAUUCUUUGUUCUAAAUGAUCCAGUCCUAUUUCUUCUUUGAUCUCUGUUCUAUUCUAGUGUAAGACUCAGUCAUAUGCUGGUAAAGGCUUCUUCUGGACUGAAGCACCUUGGUAACACCUGUCAAACAGAGAACCUUUAUAUUCUGUUAACUGCAAAGGCUAUGGGCUUGUUUUCGGCUUACUGUAUUUACAGUGAUGGGGGUGAGUGUGACAUUUAACCAAACAAACAACAGUGCUGAGCACUGUGCUAAGUUUAAGUGUAACGAGCUUAGAGAAGAAAUGAGAAUGAGAUUUUUAAGGCGUGUGCACCAUGAGGUGACCAUGCUGCAAAGUGAAAUUAUGGCAAACAAUAUAAACAGUACAAAUGUUAAACUGUGCAGUAUGGGGGAGCUACAGGCUAUAACAGUCAUGGAAAGCUCUAUACGAUUAAAAAAAAAAGGCCGGCUUUAUUUAUAUCAUUAUACACACCUGCAACCUGAUGAUUUCCUUGCUAUUGUCUUUUCUUGGCCCCUCUACCUCUUAUACUUAUUCUGUAUUGUUUACAUAAUUUACAAAGUGACAGACACACAGAAGACCCUCAACUAAUGAUUAUAGCAUGAGUAUUGAAGAUGAGUAUCAGGUAUGCCCCUUAGAGGGUUAGAUGUUUUCUUAUCAACAAAAUGGUUGUGUGUUUCCUCACCUCUCCAAAAACCAAUGAGCCGGAGUGACAAUUCUCACAUCUCAUUCUGUACUCCAGGAUUGUUUGUAACAUAUUCCAUCCAUCCUUCCCCAAACUUGAGUGCAAUAUCAGUAAUAAACAUUAUAAGCACAAAUGAUUAAUUAUGCAGGUGGAAGAAACAUUAUAUGCUUAGAAAAAAUUCAGUUCAACUUAAGAUAGAAAUUCUUUCUUAAUAAAAUAACCUUUCUUCAGGGAAAUAUUUCACUAUUUGGAAGAUUCUGGUCAACAUUACAUGCAGAUCCUGCUCUACUUUGGCAUGACAAAAACAAUACAAAGAUAUUUGUUUAACAGGGAAAAAAAAGAUAUACAUGUUUUCCUAGUUGCUACGGUGAUGGAAAUGUGUCUGGAAUUCUUCUUGUGUACUAACAUGAACAUAUUUCAAUGUUACCCAGAUCGUGUGAUCCUUCGUCAUUGUGAUAAGCCCAUCCUAUUUGCACAUAUGAACAAUGUUUUUAAAAAAUGACUAAUAUAAAGCGAUGGAAAAUGAAGUAGACAAUAACACAACAGGUGAAGUAGUCAUUUAAAUUUCCCAGAAUAGUUCUCAGUGAUUUGUCCAUCAUUCACUGUUCUUUGCGGUUUAAGUAAAAUAUUACAGUAAAUAUCUUCCUCACCCCCAAAAUCAAUUUUCCUUUACAAACAUAUUUUACUGUAAAAAGAGCAAUAGUUCAUGGUGUGUGAAUAAUAAAAAAAAAAAAAUUGCUAUCAUCUCCAUGCUGCCUUCUGUUUUUCUUGUACAUAUGGAUAUGAGAAGAGUCUGCAAGCAAAUCAGAGUAGGCUAAAAUUAUCACGUAUCAUAAUUUCGUGGGAGCACUAUUUGCCUCUUAGAUUUAGAUUUCACAACAAUAAGCAGAUAUUGUAGGUGACACAGGCAUUAUCUACACCUCUUUAGCACAGUUAUGCUCUUAUUGAACUUGGUUCUUCGUGUUAUCAGGCUUUCAAAAUCUUAUUUCAUGUUUUAAUGAAUACUUCAAACUCUGGGUUUGUAAACAUUUGCUUUGUAGGAAGAAAAUGGCUUUUAGUUUCUCCUUUUUUUUUUUUUUUUAAUUUUUUUUUUCAACGUUUAUUUAUUUUUGGGACAGAGAGAGACAGAGCGUGAACGGGGGAGGGGCAGAGAGAGAGGGAGACACAGAAUCGGAAACAGGCUCCAGGCUCUGAGCCAUCAGCCCAGAGCCUGACGCGGGGCUCGAACNNNNNNNNNNNNNNNNNNNNNNNNNNNNNNNNNNNNNNNNNNNNNNNNNNNNNNNNNNNNNNNNNNNNNNNNNNNNNNNNNNNNNNNNNNNNNNNNNNNNNNNNNNNNNNNNNNNNNNNNNNNNNNNNNNNNNNNNNNNNNNNNNNNNNNNNNNNNNNNNNNNNNNNNNNNNNNNNNNNNNNNNNNNNNNNNNNNNNNNNNNNNNNNNNNNNNNNNNNNNNNNNNNNNNNNNNNNNNNNNNNNNNNNNNNNNNNNNNNNNNNNNNNNNNNNNNNNNNNNNNNNNNNNNNNNNNNNNNNNNNNNNNNNNNNNNNNNNNNNNNNNNNNNNNNNNNNNNNNNNNNNNNNNNNNNNNNNNNNNNNNNNNNNNNNNNNNNNNNNNNNNNNNNNNNNNNNNNNNNNNNNNNNNNNNNNNNNNNNNNNNNNNNNNNNNNNNNNNNNNNNNNNNNNNNNNNNNNNNNNNNNNNNNNNNNNNNNNNNNNNNNNNNNNNNNNNNNNNNNNNNNNNNNNNNNNNNNNNNNNNNNNNNNNNNNNNNNNNNNNNNNNNNNNNNNNNNNNNNNNNNNNNNNNNNNNNNNNNNNNNNNNNNNNNNNNNNNNNNNNNNNNNNNNNNNNNNNNNNNNNNNNNNNNNNNNNNNNNNNNNNNNNNNNNNNNNNNNNNNNNNNNNNNNNNNNNNNNNNNNNNNNNNNNUAUAUGUAUAUAUAUAUAUAUAUAUACAUAUAGUAUUAGAAAAAACACUUUUUUAAAGUUUAUUUAUGAGAGGGAAAUAAAGUUUAUUUUGAGAGGGGGGAAAUGGGUAGGGAGAGGGAGCGAGGCAGAAUCCCAAGCAGGCUCCAUGCUAUCAGUGCAGAGCCUGAUGCAGGGGUCCAUCAUCGAGAUAGAUCAUGCAUGACCUGAGCCAAAAUCAAGAGCUGAAUGUUUAACCAACUGAGCCACCCAGGUGCCCCAAAAGAACACUUUGUUUUACAGAUUUGGCUGAGGUGUUCCAUUGGGUGGUUAAAAGUUUAGACAGAAGUUAGUCAUCAGUGACCAAGUUUCUUGCAGAUUUUGAUUCUACUAUGUCUACCUUUAUGCAGAAAGUUUUGUAAAUUUUAACCCCAACUAUUAAAAUAGAAAUCUAGAAACUUCCUAGGACAAACAUAAAGUCUGCAAGUAAUUUCAUAUUCUAUAUUUUAUAUGGAAACUCAAUUACCACCAGAAAUAUGGUGGCAAAGAUGUUGUUACUAUCCCCAUUUCACAUGUAAGAACACUGAAACUCAGAGAAAAACCAGACCAAUCCACAACACUACUAACUUGGAGGUCUGGGAAACAAUCUGAAGUGUUUUUGUUUUUUUUUUUAUUUCAAGUUUUCAACCAUUUUCCCUCCAACAAUAGGCCUUUGCAGAAGCCAAUUUACUUGUGUAAUAUGCUUUUCUUACAACACGUUAAAUCUCAAUUUAAUAUUGAACUCAAUUGGUUCAUCACUUUAUUUAACACAAUGUUAGUGUCUAUGAAUAUGUGCUACAUUAUAUCCACAUUCUACAAAACACAUGCACAGGGAAUAAUUAAUUAAUGAAGGAAACUUUUAAAUAUAAGUACAACUGCAAAAACACUUUUAAGUGUUGGAGUCUUGCUUACAGGCCAUGAGGGUCUUUAGUCAUUAAGAUAUUGAGUGUCAUACUAAUACUUUUAUAUGAAAACAUCCUUAGACAUAACCCAAUAAAAAUCAGGCAGGCUUUCUCUGAUCUCUUCAGUCUUUAAUGAUGCAUUUCUGCUCUGAGUUUGAGGUUAAGGCAUAAUUCAACAGCUAAUUAGAUGUGGUCUUUGAUCUCUCACUUGUGUUUCAUAACUGUCUCAUCUCCCUGACUAGAUUUUAAGUUCUUUGGGAGAAGAUAUCCCCACAAUCUCUUCUUUUGAAUCCUGGAGAUUACUUAACAUCCAACCUUGUACACAUUAGGAGAUGAGUACAAAUAUUUAUUCUUUAUCAGAUCAUAAUAAAAACGUUUCUUUAGUGAUCGUUUUAAGUUACCAGAAACAGAUGAUAAAGUAUGAGCUUUUAAAAUCAUGUUCCUUGGUUUCUACUCUUCUGUCAUUCAAUCUGCAGCUUACUAUAUGAUGUAAACAUACAUGGUCUGUCUAUGAUAAAACAUUUUAUACAAAAAGUCUUAUCAGCCUGGGCCUAUAACUUAAUAUAAAUUAGUUUUUCCUACUUGCAUGAGAAAUCAGGCUUAUAAUGAGAAUGCAUAUCCAGUGUACCUGCAAAGAAAAUUCUUUGAUAUGCUGUAGAGCAAAUAGGAACUGCAAUUUCAUUUAGAAGUUUGCAAGUGGCUUAUGUUCAAAGAGAAUAAGCCAGGAAAAGUGCGCCUGAUUUUCCUUCACUGCUGACUGCUAAACUGAAUCAAGUAAGAUCCUUUCCAUUUCAAGUUAUGGAACACACAACUCAAACUGCUUUAACACACUGGUUUAUCCACAUUGCUGAAAAGUCCAGAAGUAGAGUCAGUUUCAAGUAUUUGAUUAGGACUCCUCCUCUUCCUUUCCCCUGCAAUUCUCUCAGCUCUGUCCUAUUCUAAUACAGAAUUUAUUCUCAAGCAGGCUUCUAUCACUAUAGCAAAAUUACCGUGGACUUUUAGGCAUGAUAUAUGCAUCACCACAAUGUUGUUUCUCCAUCAAAUAUAAUAAAGUUAAACUGAUUACAUUAUCUUUCAGUUAAUACCUGGGCAUGAGAAAAUACCAUGGGAGUAUUUCAUCGGUGAUGGAAUUAUCUGUGAUUAAUUUUUACAUAUUAAAAAUCAAUCCUAGGGGCGCCUGGGUGGCGCAGUCGGUUAAGCGUCUGACUUCGGCCAGGUCACGAUCUCGCGGUCCGUGAGUUCGAGCCCCGCGUCAGGCUCUGGGCUGAUGGCUCAGAGCCUGGAGCCUGUUUCCGAUUCUGUGUCUCCCUCUCUCUCUGCCCCUCCCCCGUUCAUGCUCUGUCUCUCUCUGUCCCAAAAAUAAAUAAACGUUGAAAAAAAAUUAAAAAAAAAAAAUAAAUAAAAAUCAAUCCUAAACUGAUGCCCGCUUCAAUUCCUACCACAAGUCAUAAGAACAAUGCUGGGGAGAAAAAUCUCAAUGAAUUCUGUAAGAAACAGAAUUGAUUGUUUCCUUAUAAAGGUCCUACUUUUAGUUUCAUAUAGAUUAUUAUUAACCUCACCCAUAAUGAUAUUUUGAAUACCAAAGAAUAACUCAGAGGCAUGAGCACACUGGAUGUCAGGCUUCAAUUGUGAAGUGUUCAUGAUAACGUCGACACGAUCUCCCUAAUAACUGUGACCUCAUCAAUAAUAGGAACAUUUUGAGAAUUCAAUUAGUGUAGUGGUGCUUGGGUGGUGCAGCCAAUUGAGCCUCUGACUCUUGAUCUGGGCUUAGGUCAUGAUCUCACAGUUUGUGAGUUCAAGCCCCACAUCGGGCUCUGUGCUGAUGGUGUGGAGCCUGCUUAGGAUUCUCUCUCUCCUCUCAGUCUCUCCCCUACUUGUGUUCUCUCUCUCUCUCUCUCUCUUCUCAAAAUAAAUAAAUAAACUCAAAACAAUAAAACAAAAAAAGAAUUCAAUUACAUGUAAAUAUACCUAGAAAAAAAUCCUUAAGUGAAUAUUUAUUUUUGAAUUAACUAAUACAUCUUUACAUUAAUGUUAUGAAUCAAGAAAUGUUAUCCCCACUGUACACGUGAAGAAUCCGUGGUUUAGUGUUGACUGAGUGAUUUGUUAAAGUUUGUACAGCUAAACGUGAGAACAGAAGAGCACAAAAAGACAUUCUAAACCUAAAUCUCUUGCUAAUCUAUUAUAUUGGACAUAGGAGCCUGCAUAAAAAAGCAGGAUCUAAACUACACACUCUAAAAUAUUUAAGGUUAUGAAGAUAGAGCAAGAAUAUAAAAAUAAUAAAUACGUAAUGAAUCACUUGUAUAGCACUGUUCUUAGAUCAUAUAUUAAACUUCAUUAUGUAGUUUUCCACUUAGGAGCAAGGAAAUAAAGAAAGAUAAAUAUCAGCCCCUUGAUUUAAUAGAAGCCUGAGGAGUGAGGAAGGGGGGAAAAAAGGCAAAAGAAGAUCCCUGUCUCUAUUUGUGAUCAGGAUUUUUCAUGGUGAUCUCUUCAGUUGCUCUGUCUGGCUACAGAUGUACGUACAAAAGGAAAUAGAUGUAAAUCAAAGCAAGGAAAGUAGCCUUCUGACAAACUUCUUUCACGUUUAGGAAACCCACAUAUCUCAGUUUGUGGAAGAUGUUGCAGUUUCUCUAUACUUCCUGAAGCACAGAUUCCUGCUUCCACAGACUCCAUUCUACCCAACUCUCACCGUCUCUUUCAAUUUCUCCCUCUUCAAUGAAUUAAUUCCAGAAGCAAACAUGCUUUUCUUCUUCACAUUGAAAACUAAAUUAUGGUUCUCUCCCCAUUACCCUCUAGCUACUGACUCCUUUCUUUGUUCCAUCCAAUGCUUGUCUGUGGUCACUGAUUUUUAAUUUUAUUUCACCUGUUUGAACCCUUGCGUACAAAACCACUGUCCUCUAGUGUUCCACUGACACUAUAAAAACCAAGGUCAGCAAUUUUUCUAAGUUGCUGAUUCCAAUGUUCCAUUUUCAGUUAUCCUAGUUAACCUAGAAGCAGCAUUUGACAAAUUUCAUUAUUCAUCCUUGAAACGCAUCCUUGGCUUCUUGGACAUUGUUCCCUUUUGAUUUUUCCUUUCUCAUGCUCUUCCUUCACUUCUCAGAAAAUUAGGUAUUUUCUAAUUGCCCCAACCCCUGUAUGUUGAUGUGAACUUGGGCCCACUUCACAAAUACUUCCAUUUUUUUUCCUAUACUUAUUCUCUAGGUGAUCUCAUCUAGCCCCUUAACUUUAAAUAUCAUCUAUAUGCUAAUGACUUCAACAUUUAUAUCUAGAGCCAGAGACUUAUUCCUGAAUUUCAAGCACAUAAAUUCAGCUGCUAACAUCAAUCCUUAGAUGUCUAAAUUUCUGAUCUCCUCACCUCCCUACACCUGCCCUUCCCAUAGUCCAUCCCUAAGUCAAUAAAUGGGAACUUCAUUCUUUGACAGUCCCAUCCAUCAGCAAACCCUGGCAGUCCCAUAGUCUAAAUUGAGCCAGUAACGGUUUUGAAUGUCAUUACAAAUAUAUAUAUAUAUAGAUAGAUAGAUACAUAUAUAGAGAGAUACAUAUAUAUAUACAUAUAUAUAUAGAUAUAUGUAUAUAUAUAUAAAUAAUGUAUAUAUAUAAAUAUAUGUAUAUAUAUAAAUGUAUAUAUAUAAAUAAUGUGGUCCUUUAGCUCCAUAAAGUUUGUGCUUAAAU